rnacentral:tRNA from 1 species
UGCAAGUUAGUAUAAUACUAAAUACCUUUAACUUAGGAUUAAAAACAAAAGACAAUCUUUACUUGCUAC